rnacentral:siRNA from 1 species
UAGAAAGGAUUGGGGUAGUUACAU